GCUCCAUGUUUUAAUGAAAUCUUCUUUACUCUCAAAUUAUUUUGUGCUUGUGAUCCACUACUUCCAAUUGAGCCAAUAAUUUCAUAUUUUCUUCAACAAGUGACAUCAGAGCGCAAGUCUAUAUCAUCUUCGUUUUCAACAAAGAUGAAUAGUUGUGGAUACCACAAAAUUUGCGGUAAUGCAUACUAGUUAUGAAUGUCUGAUUGAACAUUAGCCAUAACCAAUUAAUAAAUAGGUAGCCAGAUGGAGUUGUUUCAAUUUCUGCAACUCGAAUGGAGAUGUACAAAUCGAAGUAAAUCAAGAGUGAAUAAAUAGUGGAGCUAAAAAGUUUACUGGAAAUUCUACCAUCCUCCAUCCAGAUAAUUUUGACAAGGUUUCAUGAACAUAAAGCACGUGUAAAUAGCACUUGCAGAUUUACGGUGCAGAAUUAGUGACAACAUAGCACUUGCAACCAAGAUGUUUGAUGAAAUUACUCUUCGGAAAUUUAAAAAAUGUGACUCCAGUUACUCCCUUAAAUGGAUUUCAUUGAGCCUUUGAACAACUAGAAAUUUGGUUUUAGUUGGAAGUAUGAAAAAUGUAUGGAACGUGCUAAGUUUUCUUCUUGCAUCUGACGUGGAGAUGCACGAAUUGAAGUAAAUGGAGAGUGAAACAGAGCGGAGCUGGAAAGUUGUCUGGAAAUUUUUACCCCCCGUGAAUUUCUGCCGCAUGUAUGGUUCUACUCUCCAUCCAAAUAAUCUUUACAAGAUUAUAUUAUUGGCGUGCAAAAUCCUCAACAAUGGCACACUGUGAAUCUUGAAUCAGAAUCAUUAUGUAUCAUGGAUGGUGCACCUUGGUAGAGUGAGGCCAAUUAUCAAUGUUGCAGAUGAUAUUGGUGAUGGCGUACACUUCAAUCCAUUUGUUGAUCACAAUGAUAAGAUGUUCAAGUGCAGCACUUUUAGAAUGCAUGAUUUGAUUCAGGACAUUCUACGAUGAGAGAGAUUCUACCGGGUGGCCGGUUGCAGAAACCUUAAAGUACCCUUCCGGUACUGUUUGCCACUUCGCUUGAAGGCUUAGGUACCAUACUAUUACUCCAGGCUAUCUGUUAGUUUUAUUUUUCGUCUAUGCAAUGUUCCACUAAUUACUGAUAAAAACAACACAUAAGUGGUAAUAUUUUCGCCUGUCAAAGUAAGUGUUGUUGAAUUUCAAUUAUCCCGUAAGAUCAUAUCUGAUAUCUUAUUAUGUGUUUAAACAACCUCUAAUUUGUCGUAUGUCAUAUGACACCUCUCUAAAUCAUAGAAAAGAAAUAUGAAUUUCUCAAUUGUUUCUAAUGUUAUCACUACAUCUAAAAGUUAUACAUGAAAUAACACACAAGAAAAUGUUAUAUUAUGUUUCCUUCAGUAAUCUCCCAUUCAUUUUGUAAAAAUUGGUUUCCUUUUUGUUAUCUGAGAGAAGUGGUAAGAGAAAACUAAUACAUGUUUU